CUUUCCUUCCAUUUCUCCCCUUUUCUCCCUCCCCUGCCACUCAUUUCCCUAGCUUUCUCUUUUGUGGACUUUCCCCUUUCUUUGUUUUCACUUUCUCUUUCAAUCCUUUCCAAAACAGAGUGGUUGUCUAACUGUCAUAGAGCAGCUUGCCCACAAUUGGUCAAACAACUGUUCCUCUGAAAUGGGGGAAACUGUUGAAGAUUUCGUGACUAGGACUCGCAUUGCCCUGAAGAAUUAUUGUCCAGUCUUCCAGGGAAAUCAGGCAAACAACAUGCAAGCACCAAAAAAGAAUAUGGAAGAAAGAAUUAAAAAAAUGACAUGCUCUGAAAUAGCUAGAAAUUUAUUAGAAAUUUGGAGAGAAUACUGGAGAGAAACAGAAAAGUCAGCUAGAAGAGGGAGGAAAAGGAAGAGAAGACAAAGUCUGAAUAAGUGAUAUAAAACUACUGAAAAGAACUUGCAAGGAGAAAAAAUGUAGCCACAUUUUUUGCUCAGAUUUUUAAAAUUCUUGGAACAAUAAGAAUGAUGAGGUCAUAUAUGCAUAUCA